rnacentral:tRNA from 1 species
GCCGCGGUAGCUCAGGUAGUAGAGCGCAGCUCUGAAAAAGCUGAGGUCACCAGUGCAAGUCUGGUCCGCGGCA